UGGAUGAGUCAAACACAGCCACAACAGUGGGGAAUGCAUCCAUUAGGCUGCUUAGGACAAGUGUCCCAUAAGGACCCCAUGUGGGAACAACCAAAGCAACAAUGGCAGGAGCUGCCAUAAGCCCAUCGGGCUCCAGGCUUGUGUGUAAGACUGAUCCUGAGAGUUAAUGCUUCCAAACAGCUGCCUUCCCACUCGGAUGCCACCAUCUGCAGCAGAACACCUGUUGGAAAAGGUGCGGAGGGACAGGAAGCUUGCAGCCAUGUGGGAGGAUUCUAUUGCUGCUGCUCCGCAUCCUGGCUGUGCCUUCUUCCUUUUCCUUCAGGAACCUUGAUUGAACUGCCCAAGUGUUGGUCUCUGUUAAUGUGUACUUGCUUUAAUGUUUGUCAAUAGAUAGUUGUACGCAAUCACAAGAAAUUUUCUUAAA